rnacentral:rRNA from 1 species
UGGCUCAGGAUGAACGCUAGCGACAGGCCUAACACAUGCAAGUCGAGGGGCAGCAUAAAGGUAGCAAUACUUUGGUGGCGACCGGCGCACGGGUGAGUAACACGUAUGCAACCUACCUGUAAGAGGGGAAUAACCCGGAGAAAUUCGGACUAAUACCGCAUAAUACCACGAAGCUGCAUGGCUUUGUGUUUAAACAUUUAUGGCUUACAGAUGGGCAUGCGUAUGAUUAGAUAGUUGGUAGGGUAACGGCCUACCAAGUCAACGAUCAUUAGGGGUUCUGAGAGGAAGGUCCCCCACACUGGUACUGAGACACGGACCAGACUCCUACGGGAGGCAGCAGUGAGGAAUAUUGGUCAAUGGGCGAGAGCCUGAACCAGCCAAGUCGCGUGAAGGAAGAAGGUUCUAUGGAUUGUAAACUUCUUUUGUAAGGGAAUAAAAAGAGUUACGUGUAACUUCUUGUAUGUACUUUACGAAUAAGGAUCGGCUAACUCCGUGCCAGCAGCCGCGGUAAUACGGAGGAUCCAAGCGUUAUCCGGAUUUAUUGGGUUUAAAGGGUGCGUAGGCGGACCCGUUAGUCAGUGGUGAAAGUUUGCAGCUCAACUGUAAAAUUGCCAUUGAAACUGCGGGUCUUGAGUGUAAAUAAGGUAGGCGGAAUGUGUUGUGUAGCG